AGUGAGUAGAUUUUGACAUAGCUGGUGACGUUUACUCCCUGCUGAGCUCUGGGCUCCGGCGUGUCUACUAGGAUCAGAAUCCGCUGACAUAGUGAGGAGCCAUCUGGGCGUCAAGUUCUGCUGAGGCAACAUUUAGCUGAAACAAGUCCUGGCGAACUCCCAGUCUCGCUGUGCAGCACUUCCGGGUUUUGGAUAGAGUUCUAUAUCCCUUCAGGAAACUCAUGAAAUGGGUUUCUAUGAUCAGGAACAGCAGGCAACUCUAAGAUCACCAUGUACAAAGCUAACCGUUGGCAAUAGUGGUGAAAAGCACUCCGCCGCUGGACUCUGGAGCAUUGGAAACAUGUUCCUUGGAGUGAAGACUUACACCCUGAUCCAUGCAUUAGACUGCAAGAUAGAAAAGUGUGUUUGGCGUGCGUACAAUGCUCUCUACUGUAAUGCAUAGUGCCUUCUCUAAUUCACUCAAACUUACUUUAAAACUUUCCUGUAGAAAGCCUUCCCAGAAGAAAGGAGGCAGUUAUACCUGGCAGCUCCAUAUAUAUCUUGCUUCCUCCUUAUCUUCUGUACACAGAAUGCUUUAUUUGUGUUGAGGAUACUAUUGCAAGUGGGGAUUCUGGGUCACUGAGUACUUCUGUACUUAUUAACAACCUGUUAACUCCUAAUUGUAAAAUUACUAUUAAACAUUCCGAUUUUCCAUUCUAUGUUCCAGCCAGUCUUUCCCCUGUUUUUCAUGUUUCAUGUCCUUAGAUCCCUCUGUAACC